rnacentral:rRNA from 1 species
AUGAACGCUGGCGGCAUGCCUUACACAUGCAAGUCGAACGGCAGCAUGACCUAGCUUGCUAGGUUGAUGGCGAGUGGCGAACGGGUGAGUAAUGCAUCGGAACGUGCCUUUUAGUGGGGGAUAACGUAGCGAAAGUUACGCUAAUACCGCAUAUUCUCUGAGGAGGAAAGCAGGGGACCUUCGGGCCUUGCGCUAGAAGAGCGGCCGAUGUCGGAUUAGCUAGUUGGUGAGGUAAAGGCUCACCAAGGCAACGAUCCGUAGCGGGUCUGAGAGGAUGAUCCGCCACACUGGGACUGAGACAAGGCCCAGACUCCUACGGGAGGCAGCAGUGGGGAAUUUUGGACAAUGGGCGCAAGCCUGAUCCAGCCAUGCCGCGUGAGUGAAGAAGGCCUUCGGGUUGUAAAGCUCUUUCGGCUGGGAAGAAAUCGCACCCUCUAAUACAGGGUGUGGAUGACGGUACCAGCAUAAGAAGCACCGGCUAACUACGUG